GAGAAGGAGGGAGCUAUUUCAACCAUCUUCGCUGUUAGUCCACUCCAACUGGCAGCCUGAAAAUGUGCCUGGUGCCUGAAUGCCCAGAGCCAUGUGGACCUGGCUGGCCGAACAAACUUCUUCCUCCGUAAGGGUCUUGCUAAAUUGCUGAGGCUGAUCUCAAACUUGCAAUGCUCCUUCC